rnacentral:rRNA from 1 species
AACGUAGGUUCCGAGCGUUAUCCGGAUUUACUGGGCGUAAAGCGCGUUCAGGCGGUUUGGCAAGUCGGGCAUGAAAUCUCUCGGCUCAACCGGGAGAGGUUGUCCGAUACUGCUGGACUGGAGGGCAGUAGAGGGUGGUGGAAUUCCGGGUGUAGUGGUGAAAUGCGUAGAGUAUCGGAGGAACACCAGUGGCGAAGGCGGAUCUGCUGGUCCUUGCUGCGCGUGAGGCGACGAACGG